UAGAGUGACCAACCAUCCUGGUUUGCCUGGGGCUGAGAGGCUUCUGAGGACAUGGAACUUUCAAUGCGAAAACCAGGACAGUCCCGAGCAAACUGGGAUAGUUGGUCACCCUACUUAUCA
rnacentral:pre_miRNA from 1 species